AACAAAGCACUAAACAUUGGAAUAUUCAGGCCAUCAAUCAUAAAACAUUAACAUGUGAUGAGGCAGAAAACUUCCCCUUAUUCUAGUGAGAGAAAAAGAAAAAUCCAAAACACACAUUUUUGUUAUAUAUAUAUAUAUAUGUCAUAUGUAUGUAAAAGGUAGUUUGAUUAGAGAAAAAAGAAUGGAACUAAAGAAGCCUCUGAUUGGAGUCGUUGUUGUUCAAAUCACAUACUCUGGAAUGAGUAUUUUGGCAAAAGCUGCUUUUACUUCUGGUAUGAACAACUUCAUUUUUAUUUUCUAUAGGCAAGCUUUUGGAACUCUCUUCCUUAUCCCUCCUACCAUCCUUUUCAAAAGUAGCAUGUUUAUCGAUAGGAGAUAUGUUCAAGAUUUUCAUGUUGGCCUUACUUGGAAUGAUUGAAGUUGUAUCAGGUUGAAAGCUGAGCGAUUGUGUAGAUAGCCAGGUGAUUGUUGAAGGUUAAAGAUUGAAGAUUGAGAAGAUGUUUAGAAUUUUUCUUAUUUACGUCGUGUAUUAGGAUCUUUUUUCAUGUACUGUUGUAGAAUGUAUAUAUAAACAUAAUAUUAAGUUUUCAUUUUGUGUAUACAAAUGUAAAAGAUAAAUAUUAUAGUUUCUAAAAUAAUAUUAAUUUUAUUGA